rnacentral:rRNA from 1 species
GUCCCUAUCCGUCGUGGGCGUAGGAAAUUUGAGAGGAGCUGUCCUUAGUACGAGAGGACCGGGAUGGACGCACCGCUGGUGUACCAGUUGUUCUGCCAAGGGCAUAGCUGGGUAGCUAUGUGCGGAAGGGAUAAGUGCUGAAAGCAUCUAAGCAUGAAGCCCCCCUCAAGAUGAGAUUUCCCAUAGCGUAAGCUAGUAAGAUCCCUGAAAGAUGAUCAGGUUGAUAGGUUCGAGGUGGAAGCAUGGUGACAUGUGGAGCUGACGAAUACUAAUAGAUCGAGGACUUAACCAUAUAA